rnacentral:rRNA from 1 species
AGUGAACGCUGGCGGUAGGCCUAACACAUGCAAGUCGAACGGCAGCACAGUAAGAGCUUGCUCUUACGGGUGGCGAGUGGCGGACGGGUGAGGAAUACAUCGGAAUCUACUUUUUCGUGGGGGAUAACGGAGGGAAACUUACGCUACUACCGCAUACGACCUACGGGUGAAAGCAGGGGAUCUUCGGACCUUGCGCGAUUGAAUUAGCCGAUGUCGGAUUAGCUAGUUGGCGGGGUAAAGGCCCACCAAGGCGACGAUCCGUAGCUGGUCUGAGAGGAUGAUCAGCCACACUGGAACUGAGACACGGUCCAGACUCCUACGGGAGGCAGCAGUGGGGAAUAUUGGACAAUGGGCGAAAGCCUGAUCCAGCCAUACCGCGUGAGUGAAGAAGGCCUUCGGGUUGUAAAGCCCUUUUGUUGGGAAAGAAAAGCAGCAGGUUAAUACCCCGCUGUUCUGACGGUACCCAAAGAAUAAGCACCGGCUAACUUCGUG